rnacentral:rRNA from 1 species
GUCCUUGCCUUAAACUAUGUAUACUUGGCGUAGUCGGACUCAACCCCGACUGUGCCGAAGCGAACGCGAUAAGUAUACCGCCUGGGAAGUACACUCGCAAGGGUGAAACUCAAAAGAAUUGACGGGGACCCCGCACAAGCAGUGGAGCAUGUGGUUUAAUUCGAUGCAACGCGAAGAACCUUACCUGGUCUUGACAUGAACCUGAUCGCUUCAGAGAUGAAGCUUUCCCGCAAGGGACAGGUACACAGGUGCUGCAUGGCUGUCGU